UACGUAGGUGACAAGCGUUGUCCGGAUUUACUGGGCGUAAAGAGCGCGCAGGCGGUCGAUCAAGUCGAGUGUGAAAGCCCCCGGCUCAACUGGGGAGGGUCAUUCGAUACUGAUCGACUCGAAGGCAGGAGAGGGUAGUGGAAUUCCCGGUGUAGUGGUGAAAUGCGUAGAUAUCGGAAGGAACACCAGUGGCGAAAGCGGCUUCCUGGUCCAGCACCGACGUUCAGGCACGAAAGCGUGGGGAGCAAACAGG
rnacentral:rRNA from 1 species